rnacentral:rRNA from 1 species
UACAGAGGUCUCAAGCGUUGUUCGGAUUCAUUGGGCGUAAAGGGUGCGUAGGCGGCGCGGUAAAGUCGGGUGUGAAAUCUCGGAGCUUAACUCCGAAACUGCAUUCGAUACUGCCGUGCUUGAGGACUGGAGAGGAGACUGGAAUUUACGGUGUAGCGGUGAAAUGCGUAGAUAUCGUAAGGAAGACCAGUGGCGAAGGCGGGUCUCUGGACAGUUCCUGACGCUGAGGCACGAAGGUCAGGGGAGCAAACGGG